rnacentral:misc_RNA from 1 species
UAUAAGUUUAUAGGCACAAAAGAGCCUAUUGAUUACAUUCUAUAACAUACAUUGGGUAUAUGAAGAAACAUAGACCUGAAAAUGUAAAGAGAGACAUGAAGUCAACUCCUCAAACCCAAAUGACUAGCAUUCAGAGAGAUAUCCAGGUCUACAAAAGGUGCACAGGUGGAGAUAUAAAGAUGACAAGUGUGCACAUGUCCCCUAGAGAACCAGCAGCAACUCAUCAGGUUUAUUUCAAUAAUGAUCCUUCCGCAGGUUCACCUACGGAAA